ACGCAUAUAAUCCUAGGCUAGUCCCCUAAGAGGCACUACUUGUUGGAACAGAAGACGCCUCCGGCUGAGCCUCACUGGCCAUAGUUUCCGGCAGUGAGGUUUCUUCCUGAGCUAUCGUUGAAGUUUCUGGUACUGAGGUUUCUUCCUGAGCUACCGUUGGAGUUUCUGGUACUGAGAUUUCUUGCUCGGCCACCGGCGGAGCUUCUGUGACAGAGGGGGCAGAAGGUUGAGCAACUUCUGAAGUCUUGAACUUGUUGAUGUAGUAGCUAAGUG
rnacentral:lncRNA from 1 species